UUGGUGCUUGCAUCAUGAUUUACAUUUGAGUGAGUGGCGAACUGGUGAGUAACACGUGGGAAACCUGCCCAGAAGCGGGGGAUAACACCUGGAAACAGAUGCUAAUACCGCAUAACAACUUGGACCGCAUGGUCCGAGUUUGAAAGAUGGCUUCGGCUAUCACUUUUGGAUGGUCCCGCGGCGUAUUAGCUAGAUGGUGAGGUAACGGCUCACCAUGGCAAUGAUACGUAGCCGACCUGAGAGGGUAAUCGGCCACAUUGGGACUGAGACACGGCCCAAACUCCUACGGGAGGCAGCAGUAGGGAAUCUUCCACAAUGGACGAAAGUCUGAUGGAGCAACGCCGCGUGAGUGAAGAAGGGUUUCGGCUCGUAAAACUCUGUUGUUAAAGAAGAACAUAUCUGAGAGUAACUGUUCAGGUAUUGACGGUAUUUAACCAGAAAGCCACGGCUAACUACGUGCCAGCAGCCGCGGUAAUACGUAGGUGGCAAGCGUUGUCCGGAUUUAUUGGGCGUAAAGCGAGCGCAGGCGGUUUUUUAAGUCUGAUGUGAAAGCCUUCGGCUCAACCGAAGAAGUGCAUCGGAAACUGGGAAACUUGAGUGCAGAAGAGGACAGUGGAACUCCAUGUGUAGCGGUGAAAUGCGUAGAUAUAUGGAAGAACACCAGUGGCGAAGGCGGCUGUCUGGUCUGUAACUGACGCUGAGGCUCGAAAGUAUGGGUAGCAAACAGGAUUAGAUACCCUGGUAGUCCAUACCGUAAACGAUGAAUGCUAAGUGUUGGAGGGUUUCCGCCCUUCAGUGCUGCAGCUAACGCAUUAAGCAUUCCGCCUGGGGAGUACGGCCGCAAGGCUGAAACUCAAAGGAAUUGACGGGGGCCCGCACAAGCGGUGGAGCAUGUGGUUUAAUUCGAAGCUACGCGAAGAACCUUACCAGGUCUUGACAUACUAUGCAAAUCUAAGAGAUUAGACGUUCCCUUCGGGGACAUGGAUACAGGUGGUGCAUGGUUGUCGUCAGCUCGUGUCGUGAGAUGUUGGGUUAAGUCCCGCAACGAGCGCAACCCUUAUUAUCAGUUGCCAGCAUUAAGUUGGGCACUCUGGUGAGACUGCCGGUGACAAACCGGAGGAAGGUGGGGAUGACGUCAAAUCAUCAUGCCCCUUAUGACCUGGGCUACACACGUGCUACAAUGGAUGGUACAACGAGUUGCGAACUCGCGAGAGUAAGCUAAUCUCUUAAAGCCAUUCUCAGUUCGGAUUGUAGGCUGCAACUCGCCUACAUGAAGUCGGAAUCGCUAGUAAUCGCGGAUCAGCAUGCCGCGGUGAAUACGUUCCCGGGCCUUGUACACACCGCCCGUCACACCAUGAGAGUUUGUAACACCCAAAGUCGGUGG
rnacentral:rRNA from 2 species